GCCCUUAUGGCUCAGUGGUAGAGCGCAUCACUAGUACUGAGUUGAUUAAAUAUUUAGCUCAUUAUGUGAUGAUGAGGUCCUAGGUUCGAUCCCUGGUGAGGGCA
rfam:Rhizoctonia solani AG-1 IA unplaced genomic scaffold scaffold18, whole genome shotgun sequence.